UCGGAUUGACUAUCUAAGUGGUAGCAACUAAAAACAAUUAUAAAAAUUAAGAAAAAUUAAGAAUAAACAAAGAAACAGAUUGGCGGGUUGGCGGGUUACCUAGGUAUUUUAGCGGUUGGCAGAUUCACCCAUUUAUUUCGCGGCUAGCCAAAUUCAAGAUGCCCAAGAAUGGAUUUCCUCCAUCCGAGGGUAAGAAGAAACUUAUCAAUCCUCAUUAGCUCAUCUCCCAAAAACCAUGGAUUCCUUGGCUGCCCACUAUGCCUCCGUUAAUACCCAAACCUGCACCAUCGAAACCACCCUCCUUGACGAAAUAUGACAACUGCGCCUGAAUCACAUUCCGCCACCAAUCCCACGUUCCGCUACCACUACCCCAGCUGCUUCCUCGACCCCUCCUUCCUCCCACCCCCAACUAACAU
rnacentral:lncRNA from 1 species